rnacentral:lncRNA from 1 species
ACGGAGUGAAAUUGUGAUAACUCCUGGCACAACCAUUAAGACCCUCAUCUAUAGUGGACUGGAACAAAGCACAGUUCAUUAGCCAGAACUUCUAGCACCAUGUUGAACAGAAAUGGUGACAGUGGGCAUCUUUAUAUAAUUCCGAAACCAGGGAGGUAUCUCUCAAUAACCUAAGUCCAUGUUACACUUAGGUUAAAAAGAAGAAUGAAAACCCCUCAAGCCAGAUUUUAUGACUUUUUAUAUCACACUGAAAAGUCCAAUGAACUACAGAUUUCAACCAUGGAGAUUUGUGCCCUACUAUGAAACGGUGACUGUAACACAGAUUGAUGAAAGAUUCUGCAGGACGACAAAGGUUAAAGAUGUAGACCCGGAGCUAGAAGCCAGCACUGACACUGAUGGAGUGGACUGCGAUGAGAAUGCCCACAUUAUUGUCCUAUCCUCUGAUAACCAAUGUAAUAUGAAAACCGACUACAGAAGAAAGGAACAAAUUAAAUCCAUUAAUCAAGCAUA